rnacentral:rRNA from 1 species
GACGAACGCUGGCGGCGUGCUUAACACAUGCAAGUCGAACGAAGUGGCGAACGGGUGAGUAACGCGUAAUCAACCUGCUCAUCAGAGGGGGACAACAGUUGGAAACGACUGCUAAUACCGCAUACUGAAGGAGGGGACUGCGGCUGAUUAGCUUGUGGGGGGGGGAACGGCCCACAAAGCCGAUGAUCAGUAGCCGGUCUGAGCGGCUGAACGGCCACAUUGGGGCUGGGACCCGGCCCAGACUCCUACGGGAGGCAGCAGUGGGGAAGCUUCCGCAAUGGACGAAAGUCUGACGGAGCAACUCCGCGUGAGUGAUGACGGCCUUCGGGUUGUAAAGCUCUGUUAAUCGGGACGCGGUACCGGAAUAGAAAGCCACGGCUAACUACGUGCCAGCAGCCGCGGUAAUUC